rnacentral:rRNA from 1 species
AUUGAACGCUGGCGGCAGGCUUAACACAUGCAAGUCGAGCGGGCGAGGUUGCUUCGGUAACUGAGCUAGCGGCGGACGGGUGAGUAAUGCUUAGGAAUCUGCCUAUUAGUGGGGGACAACAUUCCGAAAGGAAUGCUAAUACCGCAUACGCCCUACGGGGGAAAGCAGGGGAUCUUCGGACCUUGCGCUAAUAGAUGAGCCUAAGUCAGAUUAGCUAGUUGGUGGGGUAAAGGCCUACCAAGGCGACGAUCUGUAGCGGGUCUGAGAGGAUGAUCCGCCACACUGGGACUGAGACACGGCCCAGACUCCUACGGGAGGCAGCAGUGGGGAAUAUUGGACAAUGGGCGGAAGCCUGAUCCAGCCAUGCCGCGUGUGUGAAGAAGGCCUUUUGGUUGUAAAGCACUUUAAGCGAGGAGGAGGCUACUUGGAUUAAUACUCUAGGAUAGUGGACGUUACUCGCAGAAUAAGCACCGGCUAACUCUGUGCCAGCAGCCGCGGUAAUACAGAGGGUGCGAGCGUUAAUCGGAUUUACUGGGCGUAAAGCGUGCGUAGGCGGCUUUUUAAGUCGGAUGUGAAAUCCCUGAGCUUAACUUAGGAAUUGCAUUCGAUACUGGGAAGCUAGAGUAUGGGAGAGGAUGGUAGAAUUCCAGGUGUAGCGGUGAAAUGCGUAGAGAUCUGGAGGAAUACCGAUGGCGAAGGCAGCCAUCUGGCCUAAUACUGACGCUGAGGUACGAAAGCAUGGGGAGCAAACAGGAUUAGAUACCCUGGUAGUCCAUGCCGUAAACGAUGUCUACUAGCCGUUGGGGCCUUUGAGGCUUUAGUGGCGCAGCUAACGCGAUAAGUAGACCGCCUGGGGAGUACGGUCGCAAGACUAAAACUCAAAUGAAUUGACGGGGGCCCGCACAAGCGGUGGAGCAUGUGGUUUAAUUCGAUGCAACGCGAAGAACCUUACCUGGUCUUGACAUAGUAAGAACUUUCCAGAGAUGGAUUGGUGCCUUCGGGAACUUACAUACAGGUGCUGCAUGGCUGUCGUCAGCUCGUGUCGUGAGAUGUUGGGUUAAGUCCCGCAACGAGCGCAACCCUUUUCCUUAUUUGCCAGCGGGUUAAGCCGGGAACUUUAAGGAUACUGCCAGUGACAAACUGGAGGAAGGCGGGGACGACGUCAAGUCAUCAUGGCCCUUACGACCAGGGCUACACACGUGCUACAAUGGUCGGUACAAAGGGUUGCUACCUAGCGAUAGGAUGCUAAUCUCAAAAAGCCGAUCGUAGUCCGGAUUGGAGUCUGCAACUCGACUGCGUGAAGUCGGAAUCGCUAGUAAUCGCGGAUCAGAAUGUCGCGGUGAAUACGUUCCCGGGUCUUGUACACACCGCCCGUCACACCAUGGGAGUGGGUUUCACCAGAAGUAGGUAGCCUAACCGUAAGGAGGGCGCUUACCACGGUGGGAUUCAUGACUGGGGUG